rnacentral:rRNA from 1 species
UUUGAUGGCGACCGGCGCACGGGUGAGUAACACGUAUCCAACCUGCCGAUGACUCGGGGAUAGCCUUUCGAAAGAAAGAUUAAUACCCGAUGGCAUAGUUCUUCCGCAUGGUGGAACUAUUAAAGAAUUUCGGUCAUCGAUGGGGAUGCGUUCCAUUAGGUUGUUGGCGGGGUAACGGCCCACCAAGACUACGAUGGAUAGGGGUUCUGAGAGGAAGGUCCCCCACAUUGGAACUGAGACACGGUCCAAACUCCUACGGGAGGCAGCAUG